rnacentral:rRNA from 1 species
AUGAACGCUGGCGGCGUGCCUAAUACAUGCAAGUCGAGCGAACAGAUGAGGAGCUUGCUCCUCUGACGUUAGCGGCGGACGGGUGAGUAACACGUGGAUAACCUACCUAUAAGACUGGGAUAACUUCGGGAAACCGGAGCUAAUACCGGAUAAUAUAUUGAACCGCAUGGUUCAAUAGUGAAAGACGGUUUUGCUGUCACUUAUAGAUGGAUCCGCGCCGCAUUAGCUAGUUGGUAAGGUAACGGCUUACCAAGGCAACGAUGCGUAGCCGACCUGAGAGGGGGAUCGGCCACACUGGAACUGAGACACGGUCCAGACUCCUACGGGAGGCAGCAGUAGGGAAUCUUCCGAAAUGGGGGAAAGCCUGACGGGACAACGCCGGGGGGGGGAUGAAGGUUUUCGGAUUGUAAAACUCUUUUAUUGGGGAAAAAAAAAUGGGUAAGGAACUAUGCACGUUUUGACGGUACCAAAACAAAAAGCCACGGCUAACCACG